rnacentral:lncRNA from 1 species
GGACUAUCCACACAAGAGAAAUUUCAUGGGCCGCUUUAGGCCUGUCAAGACCUUUUUUGGGCUGACUUUUGGAAACAUGUUUGUUUAUGGUAUGGCACCGUCUUCGUUCCUUGAGGCUGUCAAUUCUUGGUCCAAGCAAAUGAGGUAGGGUCCUCUCAAUUCUUGAUCCAAGCACAUGAGGUAGGUUCCUCUAAAAAAAAGAAGCAAAUGAGGUAGGUAAGAACUAGCAGCCAUGCUGUAGAAAAAGAAAAAGGGUAGCAGAUGUGAAUGGCAGAAGAAUAGCUCCGAAGAUUCGUCCCUGGAAAUUAAACACGUGCAGGCCACACUGCCUUGUCAACGG